GCUUCGGUAGUUCAGUGGUAGAACGCUCGUAUUACAAUCGAGGGACCCGGGUUCGAUUCCCGGCCGAAGCA
rnacentral:tRNA from 1 species